rnacentral:rRNA from 1 species
GCUUGCUCCCUUAGGUCAGCGGCGGACGGGUGAGUAACACGUGGGUAACCUGCCUGUAAGACUGGGAUAACUCCGGGAAACCGGGGCUAAUACCGGAUGCUUGAUUGAACCGCAUGGUUCCAAUCAUAAAAGGUGGCUUUUAGCUACCACUUACAGAUGGACCCGCGGCGCAUUAGCUAGUUGGUGAGGUAACGGCUCACCAAGGCGACGAUGCGUAGCCGACCUGAGAGGGUGAUCGGCCACACUGGGACUGAGACACGGCCCAGACUCCUACGGGAGGCAGCAGUAGGGAAUCUUCCGCAAUGGACGAAAGUCUGACGGAGCAACGCCGCGUGAGUGAUGAAGGUUUUCGGAUCGUAAAACUCUGUUGUUAGGGAAGAACAAGUACCGUUCGAAUAGGGCGGCACCUUGACGGUACCUAACCAGAAAGCCACGGCUAACUACGUGCCAGCAGCCGCGGUAAUACGUAGGUGGCAAGCGUUGUCCGGAAUUAUUGGGCGUAAAGCGCGCGCAGGCGGUUUCUUAAGUCUGAUGUGAAAGCCCCCGGCUCAACCGGGGAGGGUCAUUGGAAACUGGGGAACUUGAGUGCAGAAGAGGAGAGUGGAAUUCCACGUGUAGCGGUGAAAUGCGUAGAGAUGUGGAGGAACA